GAUGAACGCUAGCGGCAGGCUUAACACAUGCAAGUCGAGGGGCAGCGCGGGAUAGCAAUAUCCUGGCGGCGACCGGCGGAAGGGUGCGUAACGCGUGAGCGACAUGCCCGUUGCCCGGGGACAACCGGUGGAAACGCCGACUAAUCCCCGAUGGGAUAUUGUGCCGCAUGGCACGAUAUUGAAAGUUACGGCGGCGACGGAUUGGCUCGCGUCCGAUUAGCUGGUUGGCAGGGUAACGGCCCACCAAGGCUGCGAUCGGUGGGGGUUCUGAGAGGAAGGCCCCCCACAAUGGGACUGAGACACGGCCCAUACUCCUACGGGAGGCAGCAGUGAGGAAGAUUGGUCAAUGGGCGGAAGCCUGAACCAGCCAUGCCGCGUGCGGGAAGGAGGCCCUAUGGGCUGUGAACCGCUUUUGCCUGGGGGCAAUAAGGGCGUCGCGCACGUCCGAUGAGAGUACCAGGCGAAUAAGCAUCGGCUAACUCCGUG
rnacentral:rRNA from 1 species